rnacentral:rRNA from 1 species
GACGAACGCUGGCGGCGUGCUUAACACAUGCAAGUCGAACGGAAAGGCCCUGCUUUUGUGGGGUGCUCGAGUGGCGAACGGGUGAGUAACACGUGAGUAACCUGCCCUUGACUUUGGGAUAACUUCAGGAAACUGGGGCUAAUACCGGAUAGGAGCUCCUGCUGCAUGGUGGGGGUUGGAAAGUUUCGGCGGUUGGGGAUGGACUCGCGGCUUAUCAGCUUGUUGGUGGGGUAGUGGCUUAUCAAGGCUUUGACGGGUAGCCGGCCUGAGAGGGUGACCGGCCACAUUGGGACUGAGAUACGGCCCAGACUCCUACGGGAGGCAGCAGUGGGGAAUAUUGCACAAUGGGCGGAAGCCUGAUGCAGCAACGCCGCGUGCGGGAUGACGGCCUUCGGGUUGUAAACCGCUUUCGCCUGUGACGAAGCGUGAGUGACGGUAAUGGGUAAAGAAGCACCGGCUAGCUACGUG